rnacentral:rRNA from 1 species
UACAGAGGGUGCGAGCGUUGUCCGGAAUCACUGGGCGUAAAGGGCGCGUAGGCGGCGGCAUAAGGCCGUGGUGAAAGUCUGGGGCUCAACCCCAGAUCGGCCGCGGCGACUGUGUCGCUAGGGCACCGUAGAGGCAGAUGGAAUUCCGGGUGUAGCGGUGGAAUGCGUAGAGAUCCGGAAGAACACCGGUGGCGAAGGCGGCCUGCUGGGCAGUUUAGCUGACACUGAGGCGCGACAGCGUGGGGAGCAAACAGG